UACGGAGGAUGCAAGCGUUAUCCGGAUUCAUUGGGUUUAAAGGGUGCGCAGGUGGGAAAAUAAGUCAGUGGUGAAAUACUGCCGCUUAACGGUAGAAUUGCCAUUGAUACUGUUUUUCUUGAGUAUGGUUGAGGUAGGUGGAAUGUGUUGUGUAGCGGUGAAAUGCAUAGAUAUGACACAGAACGCCGAUUGCGAAGGCAGCUUACUAAGCCAUUACUGACGCUGAGGCACGAAAGCGUGGGGAUCGAACAGG
rnacentral:rRNA from 1 species